CGGGGGUGGAGUAACGCGUGGGUAACCUACCCUGUACACACGGAUAACAGUACCGAAAGGUAUGCUAAUACAGGAUAAUAUAUUUGAGAGGCAUCGUCUUGAAUAUCAAAGGUGAGCCAGUGCAGGAUGGACCCGCGUCUGAUUAGCUAGUUGGUAAGGUAACGGCUUACCAAGGCGACGAUCAGUAGCCGACCUGAGAGGGUGAUCGGCCACAUUGGAACUGAGACACGGUCCAA
rnacentral:rRNA from 1 species